rnacentral:rRNA from 1 species
AUGGAAGCCUACGUUGAUGAAGUAAGAAAGCUAGAAGAGCACUUUGACAGCCUACAGAUGGAACAUGUUCGAAGAGCUCAGAAUGACAUUGCUGACGGCCUGUCAAAGUGCGCCGCACUUAAGUUACCUGUGGAACCAGGGAUCUUUGUGCUCAAGCUGACUCAACCUUCUGUAACACCAUCAACUGGACAGAGCAAGAAGAGGAAGUUGGUUUCUGGUGACUAUUUUCCGGCAGAGCUCCCCGAAGCCGCCGCCAAGAAGGUCCCCAAGAUCAACACCAAGAGUGCUGAGGAGCAAUCUGCUCCGGCGAGCCUUAGGGUUUGUUCCGUUGAAGCAGACGCUCCCGACAAGUUUUGCUCCGGCAAGCUUGUCGGGGAACAUCAAGCUCCGGCUGAGCCGCAGGUUCUCGCCGUAGAAGCAGAUGUUCUCGCAGCAGCAGAUGUGCCUUUAGUCCUUGUUGUCGAGCCGCAGGCUCCAGCAUGGGCGCAGCAGAUUGUCCGUUUCCUUCAAACAGGAGAACUUCUCGAAGAGCAAGAAGAAGCGGAAAAAGUAGCCCAGCAGUCAAGUAUGUACAAGUUUGUCGACAACAUACUGUACAGAAGAAGACUCAACGGUGUGAAAUUGAAGUGCAUUCGCCGGGAAGACAGACAACAGCUGUUGGCAGAGAUACAUGGAGGCAUAUGUAGUCACCACAUUGGCGCAAGAGCACUUGCCGGCAAAGCGUUCCGGCAAGGUUUCUUUUGGCCGACAGCCCUCCAGGAUGCAACUGCACAAGUAACCAAGUGUGAAGCGUGCCAGUUCCAUUCCAAGCAGAUACACCAGCCAGCUCAAGCUCUCCAGACGAUCCCUUUAUCCUGGCCAUUUUCGGUCUGGGGGCUCGACAUCCUCGGCCCCUUCCCCCGAGCUAUCGGGGGCUUUGAGUACUUGUUCGUUGCAAUCGACAAGUUCACAAAGUGGCCGGAAGUGGAACCAGUGAGGAAGGUGACAGCACAGUCAGCAGUCAAGUUCUUCAGGUCAAUUGUUUGCCGUUUUGGGAUCCCUAACAGGAUCAUCACCGACAACGGCACGCAAUUCACGAGCUGCACCUUCAUGCAAUACGUCCAAGAUCUUGGCGCCAAGGUCUGCUUCGCUUCUGUUGCUCAUCCGAGAAGCAACGGUCAAGCGGAGAGGGCAAAUGCUGAAGUGCCGCGCGGGCUCAAGACCAGGACUUUCGACAGGAUGCGCAAGUGCGGAAAGAACUGGAUCGAGGAGCUGUCGGUGGUUCUUUGGUCGAUCAGGACGACGCCAAAUCGAGCCACUGGCCAGGCACCUUUCGCUCUAGUCUAUGGAGCAGAGGCAGUUCUCCCCAUGGAACUCGUAUACGGGUCACCUCGAGUGCUCGCUUAUGAUGAGCUUGAGCAAGAGUAG